AAAAAAAUACCCUCUUUGGUUUUCCCUUUCAAGAGACUACCCACAAACAGAACCUGUCUUUCUACAGAAGUGCCGCACGGCUCCACAACCCAGAACACCCGCCACGCACGGACAGAACCAGCGCACCGCCUAAGCUCCAGCCCAACACAGGAAAACCACCCCCGACCCACAACCCAUCACUGCUUGGAACCACCACAAAACUGCCACCCAUAGCCGUGAAGCAUCAUCAGCCCGAGCCCAUAAAAUCACCGUUUUUGGCCAAACCGGCACAGAUAUGGCCGCUCCACUGGGAAGCAACGCCAGAUAUGGAGCUCCGUUCAAGCCCGUCUACUUGGAAGAAGGUACCUCUUUUGUUGUCUCAGCAAGAAAUUUUGUGUGAUCGAGUCUUUCCCUCUGUUUUCUUCUUAGAAGUUGAGCUCUCUCCAAAUCUCUCAAAACCCAUCUCCGAUUUUCAUCCAUUAUUGCUUCUUUUCACCUAAAUCAAGCUCCCGUAUAUAUAUAUAUAUAUAUAUACCUAUAGCUUCAAUCCAAUAAUACCCAUGCCAAAAUGCUCAACAUUUCGCACAGAGCUCCUCUGCAACUCAAUCAGGAGAGUCCUCAAGCUGGACCUCUCUUCAAUCCCAUGUAAGUUCCCUACACUGCUUCACUCUCACUUCUCAGGUAUCACCGUUCCAUCACACAAAACCUCUGAAACUGAGCCCCCAAUACCUGAUGAAAUCUUCAAGUCGAGUCCCAAAUUGGGUUCUUACCAGUUGGGUGAUUCCACUUUCUAUUCACUCAUUGAGAACUAUGCCGAGUCUGGUGAUUUUUGGUCGUUAGAGAAGGUUUUAGAUCGAAUGAAACGCGAAAACCGAAGGUUUAUUGAGAAAAGUUUUGUUGUUAUUUUUCGAGCUUAUGGGAAAGCGCAUUUACCCGAAAAAGCUGUUGAAUUGUUUGAUAGAAUGUUGUGUGAGUUUCAAUGUAGGAGGACUGUGAAGUCGUUUAACUCAGUGCUUAAUGUAAUUAUACAAGAAGGUUGUUUUUCUCGGGCACUAGAGUUUUAUUCGCGUAUUACGGGCAGUGGGAAUGCGAAUAUUUCACCCAAUGUGCUUACUUUCAAUUUGGUUAUAAAGGCUUUGUGUAAGUUGGGAUUGGUUAAUAGAGCAGUUGAGAUGUUUAGAGAAAUGCCAGUUAGGAAAUGCAUUCCCGAUGUGUUCACGUAUAGUACAUUGAUGGAUGGGUUGUGCAGGGAGAAUAGGAUUGAUGAGGCAGUUUCACUGUUGGAUGAGAUGCAAAUUGAAGGGUGUUUUCCGAGUGCUACAACAUUUAAUGUGUUGAUCAACGCGAUGUGCAAGAAGGGUGACUUGGCACGUGCCUCAAAGCUCGUUGAUAAUAUGUUUCUCAAAGGAUGUGUUCCUAAUGAAGUGACUUAUAACACUCUCAUCCAUGGUUUGUGCCUCAAGGGCAAAUUGGAGAAGGCAGUGAGUCUAUUGGAUCGAAUGGUAUCGAGUAAAUGUGUGCCUAACGAUGUCACAUAUGGAACAAUCAUCAAUGGGCUUGUCAAGCAAGGAAGAGCUGUUGAUGGGGUUCAUGUGCUGAUCUCUAUGAAGGAGAGAGGGAACUGUGCAAAUGAGUAUGUUUAUUCAGCGCUUGUUAGCGGGUUUUUUAGGGAGGGAAAGACUGAAGAGGCAAUGAAAUUGUGGAAGGAGAUGAUGGAAAGGGGAUGUAAACCGAAUAAUGUUGUUUAUAGUGCUCUUAUAGAUGGUCUGUGCCGAGAAGGAAAGCUGGAUGAAGCAAAAGAAGUUCUGUCUGAGAUGGUGAAUGAGGGUUGCGUGCCCAAUGCUUUCACUUAUAGCUCCUUAAUGAAGGGUUUCUUUAAAACGGGUGAUAGCCAUAAAGCAAUUCUUGUGUGGAAAGAGAUGGCAGACAAUAACUGUACCCAUAAUGAGGUUUGUUACAGUGUACUUAUUCAUGGCUUAUGUGAGGAUGGGAAGCUUAGGGAUGCCUUGAUGGUGUGGAAGCAGAUGUUGGGCAAGGGAUUUAAACCUGAUGUUGUGGCUUACAGUUCAAUGAUUCAUGGCCUUUGCAAUGCGGGCUUGGUAGAGCAGGGUUUGAAACUUUUCAAUGAAAUGCUUUGUCAAGAGCCUGAAUCUCAACCAGAUGUAAUCACUUAUAACAUAAUUUUCAGUGGUUUGUGCAAGCAGAGUGACAUCUCCCAUGCCAUUGAUCUUUUAAACAGUAUGCUGGAUCAGGGUUGUGAUCCUGACUUAGUUACAUGCAAUAUUUUUUUGAGAACUUUAAGAGAAAAGGUACACCCACCUCAAGAUGGGAGGGAGUUUUUAGAUGAGCUUGCAGUCCGGCUGUUUAAGCGGCAGAGAAUUUUGGGUGCUUCCAGAAUUGUAGGAGUGAUGUUGCAAAAGUUUCUGCCUCCUAAAGCCUCUACUUGGGCAAGAGUUGUUCAAGAGCUUUGCAAACCUAAGAAAAUUCAAGCUGCCAUUGACAAGUGUUGGAGCAGCCUAUACUGCUGAUGUCUUAAUUGCAUAAUCCACUUGCCUUCUUGCUGUGAGACUUUACUUCACAAACCAUAUGGAAAUUGUGAAGGAUAUGAAAUUCGAACCGCUGCGUCUUAAGAUCUAGGUUUCAGAGGAGACUAGCAAUAAUCCAAGGAAGGUAAAGUUGGCCAAGUCAAUGACAGGAUCCAAAAAUCUUAGCUUUACUAGAGAUGAUCAGACGAGUAAAUAGUACAGUGCUUGGAAUGAAACUGACAAUUAUUGUUCUUAAAUCAUCUAAAAUAGGCACUUCGAGCAUCCUAAUAUGAAACACAAGUGGAUGUCUUUGCUUCCUUCUUCCAGGUGUUGCACUCAGCUAUUGUGAGUAGAGAUUGUGUAGAUAGGCUUUGGUGGGUAUCUUCCAAGAAAGGUCUGUUCAAGGUCAAGGUUCUUCUUUAGCUUCUUGGCUUGCUCUGAAGGUAGACACUUCCCUUGGAAGAGUGUGUGGCUAACUCAGGCUUCUUUGAGGGCGAUUUUUUUUGCAUGGUCGGUGACCCGAGGCAAGAUCUUUACUGUAGAAUACUCUUUUUAUUUAAUUUGGUAUGCCUUGGGUUAUGCCUAGAAGAGUUAUCGACUUGUUUGCCUGUUGGUGGAAUUUUGGAAGGCUUAGGAGUACUGCGAUGUAGAAGAUAGUGCCAAUUUGCAUUUUUUAGUGUGUUUGGAAAGAAAGAAAUCUUAGAUGUUUUGAGGAUUUGGAGAGUUCCAUGGAAGAUAUUUUAAUUUCGUUUUUUCAUACUUUGUUUCUUUGGACGGUA